GUGUCAGCCGCCGCGGUAAUACGGAGGGUGCGAGCGUUGUCCGGAAUCACUGGGCGUAAAGGGCGCGUAGGUGGCAGCGUAAGCGUGUGGUGAAAGCUCGGGGCUCAACCCCGCGUCGGCCAUGCGAACUGCGUUGCUCGAGCACUGUAGAGGCAGACGGAAUUCCGGGUGUAGCGGUGGAAUGCGUAGAGAUCCGGAAGAACACCGGUGGCGAAGGCGGUCUGCUGGGCAGUUGCUGACACUGAGGCGCGACAGCGUGGGGAGCAAACAGGAUUAGAAACCCUAGUAGUCC
rnacentral:rRNA from 1 species